CGAAUCUGCCGAGAAGUGGGGGAUAGCUCGCCGAAAGGCGAAUUAAUACCGCAUGUGAUCAGAGUGGACAUCCAUUCGAAAUCAAAGUCGGGGCAACCUGACGCUUUUUGAGGAGCCCGCGGCCUAUCAGCUAGUUGGUGAGGUAACGGCUCACCAAGGCUUUGACGGGUAGCUGGUCUGAGACGGACGACCAGCCACACUGGGACUGAGACACGGCCCAG
rnacentral:rRNA from 1 species